rnacentral:rRNA from 1 species
UACGUAGGGCGCAAGCGUUAUCCGGAAUUAUUGGGCGUAAAGAGCUCGUAGGCGGUUUGUCGCGUCUGCCGUGAAAGUCCGGGGCUUAACUCCGGAUCUGCGGUGGGCAUGGGCAGACUUGAGUGAUGUAGGGGAGACUGGAAUUCCUGGUGUAGCGGUGAAAUGCGCAGAUAUCAGGAGGAACACCGAUGGCGAAGGCAGGUCUCUGGGCAUUAACUGACGCUGAGGAGCGAAAGCAUGGGGAGCGAACAGG